AGUGAACGCUGGCGGUAGGCCUAACACAUGCAAGUCGAACGGCAGCACAGUAAGAGCUUGCUCUUACGGGUGGCGAGUGGCGGACGGGUGAGGAAUACAUCGGAAUCUACUUUUUCGUGGGGGAUAACGUAGGGAAACUUACGCUAAUACCGCAUACGACCUACGGGUGAAAGCAGGGGAUCUUCGGACCUUGCGCGAUUGAAUGAGCCGAUGUCGGAUUAGCUAGUUGGCGGGGUAAAGGCCCACCAAGGCGACGAUCCGUAGCUGGUCUGAGAGGAUGAUCAGCCACACUGGAACUGAGACACGGUCCAGACCCCUACGGGAGGCAGCAGUGGGGAAUAUUGGACAAUGGGCGCAAGCCUGAACCAGCCAUACCGCGUGGGUGAAGAAGGCCUUCGGGUUGUAAAGCCCUUUUGUUGGGAAAGAAAAGCAGCAGGUUAAUACCCCGCUGUUCUGACGGUACCCAAAGAAUAAGCACCGGCUAACUUCGU
rnacentral:rRNA from 1 species